CCUACGGGAGGCAGCAGUGAGGAAUAUUGGUCAAUGGCCGGAAGGCUGAACCAGCCAUGCCGCGUGAAGGUCAGUGCCCUAUGGGCGUUAAACUUCUUUUGUGCGGGAGCAAUUAUGGUCACGUGUGGCCAGACGAGAGUACCGUACGAAUAAGCAUCGGCUAACUCCGUGCCAGCAGCCGCGGUAAUACGGGGGAUGCAAGCGUUAUCCGGAUUUUUUGGGUUUAAAGGGUGCGUAGGCUGUGAGGUAAGUCAGAGGUGAAAUGCCCCCGCUCAACGGGGUACAGUGCCAUUGAUACUGCCUUGCUGGAAUGCGGAUGACGUAGGAGGAAUGUGUGGUGUAGCGGUGAAAUGCAUAGAUAUCACACAGAACACCGAUUGCGAAGGCAUCUCACGAGUCCGCGAUUGACGCUGAUGCACGAGAGCGUGGGUAUCAAACAGGAUUAGAUACCCCAGUAGUC
rnacentral:rRNA from 1 species